AGCCCCUUUUCUGCUGCCUAGUACUAUAAGCCAGGUAUUAACUCUGUUAAAUUUUGAUGGUUGUUUACAAAGUGCUUUGGAUUUUUUGAUAUUAUCAGGGAUACUUACGAGCCUACAUUAAAAACUGACCUACUUUGAUAUUGUCAUAUUUUAGAAAAACUUAUCAGGGUCCCAGAAAAUUAUGUUCUCUCCAAACCUAUGCUGAAGCAAAUAAUCUGUGGCAGAAUAUCCUCCUAGGAGUGAGCUUUGUGACCAGGGCAGCAUGUGCCCCUUAUGGAAGGGGAUAGACUCUAUGAAAAUGGAUAGAAAAAAAACAUUUUGCGCUCAUGGAUGAUUUUUUUUUUUUUUUUUUUUUGGUAACAGAAAAAUUGACACCCUGUUUACUUUUAAUUGUGAUGGCAUCUCCUUUGGAUGCUGGUCAAGUUUCCUACAUUUGUGAAAAGUGAAGCUCCAUGGAAAGCCAUGUCAGUUAGUACAGUCUCCUUGACAGUCUUACACACACACACACACACACCUUUUUUUUUUUUUUUUUUUUUUUUUUUUUUGGAGCAAGAGCAUUCAUUGAAAAGUAUGUAGCCUUGAAUCAGUGCCUCCCUCUAUGUGAAUCACUUUUUUUGGAAAUAGAUAACGGAUGUGCUUUAGGACACAUUGACUGCGUUGGAUUUCUUAGGUCCUGCUGACAAAAUACAUGUUCACAUAGAGGCCACCUAGGUUCAGCAGGAACUCCAUUUUGACACGCCCACUCAUGACUAGCACCUUAGAGUUGUCAGGCUUUAGGCCUAGAAGAAAUUAAACUGCCUUUUCUAGUGGUUCUGCUGGGACAGUGGGGCUGUCUUUGACUGGAAGAUCCUUGUGCUCUCUGAACCCAGGAGGGCUCCUACACAGUCCUGAUACUUAGCAGUCCUGGCAAGAGUGAGGAUUUUGCAGGAAGCCCUGACACAGUCUCCUUGGCGCUAAGGUUCCUCACGGGAUCUCACCUGGAGGUUAUCAGGACUCAUUAGGAGGGCUGGCAUGACUGGUGAUAGCAAGGAGGACAGACUCAGCCUGUGUACUUUUAUUUUUCAGAUAAUAGGAUCAUAGAAUUUAGGAUUGGAAGGGACCUUAGAAUCCCUCUUAAAUAUAAGCCUUUUAUCUUACUGAUAAGAAAAUAAGGUCAGAAAAUCUAAGUGACCAGUCACAGGUUGUAAGGAA
rnacentral:lncRNA from 1 species